AAUUCACUGGUAAAUGCAUAGGCUUUACUCUCACAACAACAAAUGUCAAAGAGCUUGAUUUUCCUUCCGAGUCAAUUCAUCCCAACAAAAAAAUAUAAUCAAACUUUUUCAUCGACUGCCAAGAUCUGCUCCUCACAACAUAAUCUACGAUGAGAAAAAAGUCAAAUAAGUAUUUAGUUUUAGCGCCUAACAUUGCUCUCUAUUGACUUCGUUCUAACACAAAAAAAUCUAAGGUUAAUCACACGAUUAUUUAUGCAAUGUCACACUUAACUGAUCAAUAGAUGUAGAAUCUAUGAUUUCUUAUAGCGAUUGUAGCAGGGCAUAUUAUGACAUAUUUUGUUUCAAUUGGAAAAGGAACAAGAGAAACAAAACAAUUGCUAAACGUAGUAGAUGGUUUCGUAAUCAUAUGGAGCAGAUUCAGUUCCACAAAAUGACUAAUUCGCAGAAUAUGAACGCAAAUGGCAUGUUUCAGCUUUAACCAACUGCCAGCCAAUAAAAAAUAUGAAGACCUUCAUGAAAUGAUCAGAAAUCAAAUAUCAGUCGUUGUACCAGCAUCUUUGUGCUUGAAGCAUAUCAGUAAAAAGGGAACAAAUGAAAUGGCAUAGAGAUUCUCACUUGUUAGGGUUGCUGCAUAACUGGUACUUCACCUAAGGCAUUUGGAUUGCAUCAAAAAGAAACAAGAGGAGAAACAUCAUGUUUUGACACAUUUUAAACAAGAGGGGUAUAAUUUUUGUUCUAUCUAAUUACACUGAUUCAUAAUUCAUGUAAUUUUGGCCGUAGAUAUCAUCUUAAACUCCUGAAGUCAACACAUCCUUAUUGCCAACUUUCCUCCAUAGAAUUAUGGUUGCCAUGUUUUAUACAUAUAAUUAUUGUGCCCAUCUUUUAUCUGAAGUUCUGAACUAUUAUUCCUGUCUUUCAAGUUGUGACAUUGGAGCUCACAGGCUGCUUCUACAUGGGGAGGGAGAGGUACCAGCUUGACCUGCACACAGGUUGGAAGCACAUUCAGCAAAAGCACCAUCAUGGACAAAAGGGGAUACCAAUCUCAAUCUCACCACAAUCUUCUGCAUAAAAAUCAACCGAGAUUCAACCCAAGGCACACCGAACCUGCAAACAGUGGCAUCGAUACUUAUAUUAUGUAGUUUCAGACUUUCUGUUUUACCCAUCCACAAAAGCAAUCUUUAGAUUCAGUUGCAAGCUCAAA